AUUGAACGCUGGCGGCAUGCCUUACACUUGCAAGUCGAACGGCAGCACGGGAGCAAUCCUGGUGGCGAGUGGCGAACGGGUGAGUAAAGUAUCGGAACGUGCCCAGUCGUGGGGGAUAACGUAGCGAAAGUUACGCUAAUACCGCAUACGAUCUAUGGAUGAAAGCGGGGGAUCGCAAGACCUCGCGCGAUUGGAGCGGCCGAUAUCAGAUUAGGUAGUUGGUGGGAGAAAGGCUCACCAAGCAGACGAUCUGUAGCUGGUCUGAGAGGACGACCAGCCACACUGGGACUGGAACACGGCCCAGACUCCUACGGGAGGCAGCAGUGGGGAAUUUUGGACAAUGGGCGAAAGCCUGAUCCAGCCAUGCCGCGUGCAGGAUGAAGGCCUUCGGGUUGUAAACUGCUUUUGUACGGAACGAAAAGGUUUGGCCUAAUAAGCUGAGCUCAUGACGGUACCGUAAGAAUAAGCACCGGCUAACUACGUGCCAGCCGCCGCCGUAA
rnacentral:rRNA from 1 species